rnacentral:lncRNA from 1 species
GGGUUGGGGUGGUGAUGGUUGCCACAUGCAGUUCUUGGGGAGGGUCCGAUAAAAAAAGAGAGAAUUUUUAUUAUCAUCAUUUUUUUUCACAUGUAGCAUUCAUUUCAGCUAAAAAAUGGUCCCACUUAUUUCAUAUAAUUGUUUUUAAUAAUAUUUUAACGGACUUAACGACAUGACAAUGUGAAUCACCAAAUUUUAGUUGACGAGAUAAUGUAGGUCAUUUUGAUUUCCAAGAGUAAUAUGAGAUUUGACCAUAAUUUUAAAAAGUAAUUAAGUUUUUAUUUUUAUUUUUUAAAAGAAUAAUGAAAACCCAACAGUUACCUCCAAUUUGACGACUUAUAUUUAGUAUGAGUAAAAUCUAAUGGUAAAAAAAAAUUUAGUGGUCAAAAUGUUAAUAUUAAUUAAUAUGAAUCAUAUCCAACUCCCAAAAUCAUUCCACACUCUAUAAUUACCUAUCCAUUGUUUAUAUUUAUGAAAUAAAGUUUUGUUGUCGAAAUUUGAAUCGGGACUAGGUAUGUCGUUUCCAUCCUCAUUUCCAUUAAUUUUUUUCCCUCCAUCCUCACUAUACAUGUAAAAUUGAAAUGGGGGAUUCCCCAUCACUUGCCUUCGUUGGGGAAACGAAUGCCCCACCCCGCUCCAUUAUAUAUAUUUUAAAUGAGAUAAAUUUGAGUUGGGG